UACGUAGGGUGCGAGCGUUGUCCGGAAUUAUUGGGCGUAAAGAGCUCGUAGGCGGUUUGUCACGUCUGCUGUGAAAUCCCGAGGCUCAACCUCGGGCCGCAGUGGGUACGGGCAGACUGGAGUGCGGUAGGGGAGAAUGGAAUUCCUGGUGUAGCGGUGAAAUGCGCAGAUAUCAGGAGGAACACCGAUGGCGAAGGCAGGUCUCUGGGCCGAUAUUGACGCUGAGGAGCGAAAGCGUGGGGAGCGAACAGGG
rnacentral:rRNA from 1 species